UGUGUGUAUAUGUAUGCACAAACAUGUGUGUGUGUGUGUGUGUGUGUGUGUGUGUGUGUGUGUGUGUGUGUGUAUACACACCUGUGUACAUGUGGGAGUGC